GCCUCCUUCGCGUCCCUGAUCAUGGCCACGAUCUCGAUGAUCGACGCAUUGUCAAUUUCCUCGCUCGUCCUCGUGAUCACCACAGGAUACACGCAGUUGCCGUAGUAGCCUUCGACCGACGGCAGCAUGCCGUGCAGCAGGUGGCGGGUGCUGGCUGUAAUGCUCAGGUGGACCUUGGCACUGGGGGGUAGGUUGAUGGCCUUGGCGCGGCACUUGUAAAGCAUCGCGGUGACGACGUCGAAGGUCGAGCACUUGUCGCCCGUGGCGGCCGCGAAGUCGUUCUUGGUGCGGUUGAUGCUCUCCGACGAGAUCUCGAUCACGGAGGUGACAAAAUUGAAGGCCGUGAAGGCCGGCGGCGGGCCACCGCGGGGUAUCUUGGGGGGGUCGGGAAUGGCAUUGCGGGACCAGACCGGCGCGACCGAUGGCUCUGGGAGGCCUCUCGCCAUCUCGCCGACGGCUUUCAUGAACUGGGCCGCACCCUGGCCGUCGAACACGAGGUGGCUGAAGCAGAUGCCGACCGCGAUUCCGCCACACUUGAAUACCGUCACCUGAGGUUAGAGAGUUGAUCUAUAUGAGAUCCGAGGAACAAAGGUUUCAGCUGAAAUUCCCAGUUCCAAAACCAAAAGCGACCAAACCAAUACAAAAUUUCUAUUUUAUCAAAUAACAAAACAAAAUUAGAGGAUAAAUUUUAACUUUUUUUAUUCACCAUAUAAAUAAUACUUUGUCAAAUAAUACUAAGAGCGCGAUUGGUUCGUAUUAUAUAGAAGUUAUUUUGACGUAAUCAUGUAUCUGAGAUUUCUGAAUUAAAUUACUGUUGAUACCGUAUUACUGCAUUUCAUUUAAUAUAAUAAUAUAAUACUAGAUUACAGCGUAUAUAGAAUUAAUAUAUUUAGUUUAUUCUAUAAAAUUUAGUAAUCCUCACAAUUAAAUUUAGAAAAUGACUCAAUCCGUAGAAUUAUUGAGGGGUUCAGAUUAAGAUCUGGGUCACGAACUCAAUAUAGCUCCUUGAAAGAAAAUUGAAGUGAUUGAUAGAAAUUUUUGCCAAAAGAUCAAUUGAAUUAAAAUAAUCUUACUAAAAACCACUUCCGAUAUUGUCGGAUUUGGAUCCAAACUAUUUAUGUGGAUUAACCAAACCCGACCCGUUAACACUCCUCUAUGGCUCUAUCCACAAGGGAAUACUCCACAGUUCGCAUGAGCUAGUGAUUAGGAGCUCGUUGGCUUUUGCAAGCCCUUUGAAACUUACCCUGCUAUUUCAUAUGCAAACUCACAUAUUUUUAUAUUUAUAACAAAAAAAAAAAAUAGUCCCUCUAUGGAUAUAAGUGAAAAUAAUAAUAAAGUUUACGUUUGGAUUAUUAACCAAAUAGUUUCUGAACACAUACUGAAGAAGAUCUGGAUGAACACUCCAAAUUAAACAUAGCAAAUAUUAUUAAAAAGUUUCAUAUCAGAAGCAUAGCAAAAUAUCGUCCUCGCCCCCAACCUGAAGCUUUUACGCUGAGCACGCGAAAACCCUAAACCCCUUAAGAUGUACACACUACACGAUCAAAUCCGAUCAAAAUAAUCUGUGCGAAAUUAAGCACAAAAAUGAGAUAAUCUGUGCGAAAUUAAGCACAAAAAUGAGAGGGGGAGAGAAGAGUGGGGGGAUCGGAUCUGACCUGGGCCAUGAGGAUGGCUUCCUCGAGCUUCACCUCGGGGGGAGGGCGAGGGAGGAGCUCCUCUCUAGGGAUCAUGAGGGGGCGCUCGAGCUGGUUCACGUCGUCCAGGGCGCAAUCGGCCUCCGCCUCCACGAACCAGAUCCCGUCGCCGGAGCACUCGACCAUGGGCUCGCCGGGGACGCUCUCGACGAUCCUCCCGGCGACGGGGAAGUAGGGGACGAGGGCGCGGGCGAAGCCCUCUCUGAUGGCGGCGACGGCGCCGCCAUCGCCGCCGCGGGAGAAGACCUGGAUGAAUUCGACGGAGACGCGCGCGUUGGCGGCGCGAUAGAUGGAGGAGAGGGGGAGGAGGAGCGUCGAGGUCGGGGUCGGCGACGCGGGGGGGACGAGGGUUGGAGGGGACUUAGUCACCACGGGACUCAUGGCGAUCGAAGCUUUUGGCUGUGUGGUAAUGGAUAUGGAGAUGGAGAUGGAGAUAAUUUAACAGUAAAUUUUUAUUAAUAUUUAAUUAAUUUUUUAAAAAAUAAAUUAUUAAUUAAAUUAAUUUUUUAAAAAUAAUUUAAAUUAGUAUAUAUGCGACAUAUUUUUAAAAAAAGUAUGUUAGAAAUCAAAUUAUUUUAUAAAAAUAUAUGCAAAAAAAAUUAAAGAAAAAAUAUUAAAAUAAUUUAUAAAAUUUUAUAUAAGUUAAUAUUUUAGUAAAUUUAAUAUACAUAUACAUAUAUUAAAUUUUAGUUAUUAGUUAUUUAAUUUUAUUUAACAAAAAAAAUAAAUUAUUGAAUUUGGUCAAUUUUUUAUAAAAUUUAAUAAUGUUUUGAUUUAAUCAACUAACAUUAAUAAAAAAUUCAAAAAAAUGUAAAAAAUCAGUUAAAAAAUAAAUUUGAGAGGCGUAUUUUAUAACGUCCUAAUAGUUGAGGGGUCUUCACACAUUUUUAACAAAAAUUUCUUUUGGUGAGUAUGUAUAAGGUGUUUCUAAACUUUUUUAGUGAUCAAUGAAUUUUCUAAAUUAUAUUCUUAAGGGUUUAUGAACAAUUGAACAUAUAUAUUUUCUACAGGCCGGUUAUCAUCAUACGAAUGAUGGUUGUCAUUAUUGUUGGCUAUUUAUUAUUAGGCUAAAAUAGGUCUAAUUUCUUAUUAUAUGACAAUCGGCUCAGAAAACUAAUAAAUUAAAUUUGAUAAGCCUAAUAAGUUGAAUGAGACUAACGGACCACAAGAAAUCAAACAGCAAGAGGCCUAACAAUAAAUUUAACGUUCAGGCGGAUAGAGUCAGGUCGAAAGCCAUGAGCGCUGUAGUUGAGCCCUUAAGUAAGAUGGGUGCGCCCUUCUUAUCAGCAUAUAUUUUUAGAAUAGUUUGUUAGCGCUAAUGAUCUACAAUUAUCAAUACCUAAACCAAAAUCAUUUUUCUAAAGGUGACCUCCAGAUUGUUUUAGCGAGUAAUUACUUGAUGAUGUUAUUUUCUAAAUAAGAUCAUAGUAGGUGUUUGUUGGCUUAAAUAAAUCAACAACCUGCUCUGUGACGGGAGGCUAAGUUGGGUCGACUUUGUACACUUUAAGAGGCUAUUUGGUUGCAUGCAUUUCUAAUUGCAUUGCUAUUGAGAAUACAUGCAUCUAUUAAAAUUUUAUUUGAUUUGGUAUAAUUAGGCCCAACUGCUACAGUUGCAUCUGCACGAGAAGACCCAACUGCAGCAGUUAGGCCGGAGUCGGCUCACUCAUUAAAAAAAUAAAUAAAGUGUGAUUUUUUUUUCAUACGCUUCUUUUUUUUUUUUUUCAAAAAUACCUAUUCAGGAAAUCUUAUAGGGUUUAAUAAUGUUUGUUAGAAUCAAUAAAUUUUUUUCAUACGCUUCUUUUUUUCAGUCUGCUAGUUUAAUAAUAUCUUAAUUUUUGUUUUUACCAAAUCUAUAAUAUAUUGCGUUUAAAUGUUAUUAAAUUCAUACAUAAUUUUAUAAUAUAUAAAUUAUAUAUAGAUAUAAAAAUCUUAAUUAAUAAUUANUUAUUAGGCUAAAAUAGGUCUAAUUUGUUAUUAUAUGACAAUCGGCUCAGAAAACUAAUAAAUUAAAUUUGAUAAGCCUAAUAAGUUGAAUGAGACUAACGGACCACAAGAAAUCAAACAGCAAGAGGCCUAACAAUAAAUUUAACGUUCAGGCGGAUAAAGUCAGGUCGAAAGCCAUGAGCGUCGUAGUUGAGCCCUUAAGUACGAUGGGUGCGCCCUUCUUAUCAGCAUAUAUUUUAGAAUAGUUUGUUAGCGCUAAUGAUCUAAAAUUCUCAAUAUCGAAAUCAAAAUAAAUUUUCUAAAGGUGACCUCCAGAUUGUUUUAGCGAGUAAUUACUUGAUGAUGUUAUUUUCUAAAUAAGAUCAUAGUAGGUGUUUGUUGGCUUAAAUAAAUCAACAUCCUGCUCUGUAACGGGAGGCUGAGUUGGGUCGACUCUGUACGCUUUAAGAGGCUAUUUGAUUGCAUGCAUUUCUAAUUGCACUGCUAUUGAAAAUGCAUACAUCUAUUAAAAUUUUGUUUGGUUUGGUGUAAUUAGGCCCAACUGCUACAGUUGCAUCUACACGAGAAGACCCAACUGCAGCAGUUGGGUCGGAGUCGGCUCACUCAUUAAAAAAAUAAAUAAAGUGUGAUUUUUUUUUCAUACGCUUCUUUUUUUCAGUCUGCUUGUUUGAUAAUAUCUUAAUUUUUGUUUUUACCAAAUCUAUAAUAUAUUGCGUUUAAAUGUUAUUAAAUUCAUACAUAAUUUUAUAAUAUAUAAAUUAUAUAUAGAUAUAAAAAUCUUAAUUAAUAAUUAAAAUAUGAUUACGUUAUGCUCAGAAGAGCUAAUCUCACAUUUCUAUCUAAAAAUUGACAGAAUUUAUAAAUGCAAAUCUCAACCGUAGACUACCAAACAGAAAAAAUAUAACUGCAGCAGUUGCAACUAUAUAAGACCAAACGGACUAGAUGUAGUUAUAACUGUAGCAUUUAUAACUACAUGUACUUCCAACUACACUAUUUUUAUAACUACAUCUAACCAAACGGGCCCUAAGUGAAUUAAUAGUAUAUUUUUAACAAUUUGAGUUUUGAGAGUUAAUAGUUAGCGCCAACUGAUCCGACAAUAACGGUUCUAAUGGUGAAAAAUUAUCAAGUAAAUUGUUGGCAGUGAACUGGUAGGCAUAUAUUUUUUAAAAAAUUAAAUUUAUAAUUAGAUAUUUGAAAAUUUGCUAUUUUGAGUAACAAAUGUGUAAUUUUUAAAUUUAAUAAGAAUACAUACCNCUAAACUUUACUUAUUAGUUAUUUAAUUUUAUUUAGCACAAGAAUUAAAAUUAUUGAAUUUUGUCAUUGUUUUAUUAAAAUUUAAUAAUAUUUUGAUUUAAACAAUUAACAUUAAUCAUAAAAAAUCAAAAAAAUAAGACUUUAUUUUUUAAAAAAAUGAGAGGUCUAUCUUAUUAAAGCAAUCUAAUAGUUGAGAGGUCUUCACGCAUUUUUAACAAAAAAAAUUUUCACGUGAGAGUCUAUAAAGUCUCUCUAAAUUUUUUAAAGCGAUUUUCUAAACUAUAUCCUUAAGGGUAGAUGAACACGUAUAUCUUAGAGAUUAAUGAAUAUUCACAUAUUUUCUGUAGGCUGGUCAUCAUCACACCAAUGAUGGCGGUCAUUAUCAAUAUUCAAAUCAAAAUAAUUUUCUGAAGGUAACCUUUAGAUUAGGUUAGCAAGUGAUUCGAUGUAUUUUUCUAAAUGGAAUUGUGAUAAGUGCUUGGUAGUUUAAAUAAGUAGGCAUCUUGCUCUGCGAACCGAAUCACAUUAAAAAUGACGGGAGGUUAGAUUAGAUCGAGUCAUAUUUGAAGUGACAUAAGGCUGGUUAAAUUAAGUUAUAAUCGAAAUAUGUGAAUACUGUAUCUGUAAGCUUUAAGAAAAUUUAUUGUUUACUUAUAAUUGUUUGAGUUUUUGGGAUUAUUGAUUAGUGCCAAUGAUUCGGCAAUAAUGAUUCUAAUGAUGAGAAAUUAUCAAAUAAAUUGCUAGUAGUUAACUUAUAGGCAUAUAUUUUUUAAAAAAAUUUAAAUUUAUAAGUAGAUAUUUGGAAAUUUCUAUUUUGAGUAACAUAUGUGUAAUUUAUAUCAAUUCAUUUUAUUCUUGAAUAAAGCACGAAUUUAUAUCAAUCCAAAUAAAUUUAGCGUAUCUAAUGUCGCACACUUUGACCUGUAAUAGUACAUGACCAACAAAAUUAAAAAGCAACUUAUUAAAUACACUAGGUACGGGGAAUAAUGUACAAAGUUAAGAGGAGCAUCUUUUGUGGACAUGUUUCUAUUUUAUUGGUGCACCUGGUGCACUAUGGACCCAAUAAAAAUAUGUGAUUUUAUUUUAAUGAAUAUAAUAAAAAAUUUAUAAAUAUUAAUNUAUGAAUUUAAUAACAUUUAAACGCAAUAUAUUAUAGAUUUGUUAGAAUCAAUAAAUUUUUUUCAUACGCUUCUUUUUUUCAGUCUGCUAGUUUAAUAAUAUCUUAAUUUUUGUUUUUACCAAAUCUAUAAUAUAUUGCGUUUAAAUGUUAUUAAAUUCAUACAUAAUUUUAUAAUAUAUAAAUUAUAUAUAGAUAUAAAAAUCUUAAUUAAUAAUUAAAAUAUGAUUACGUUAUGCUCAGAAGAGCUAAUCUCACAUUUCUAUCAAAAAAUUGACAGAAUUUAUAAAUACAAAUCUUAACCGUAAACUAUCAAACAAAAAAAAUAUAACUGCAGCAGUUACAACUGUAUAAAACCAAACGGACUAGGUGUAGUUAUAACUGUAGCAUUUACAACUACAUGUACUUCCAACUACACUAUUUUUAUAAUUACAUCUAAUCAAACGGGCCCUAAGUGAAUUAAUAGUAUAUUUUUAACAAUUUGAGUUUUGAGAGUUAAUGGUUAGCGCCAACUGAUCCGACAAUAACGGUUCUAAUGGUGAAAAAUUAUCAAGUAAGUUGUUGGCAGUGAACUGGUAGGCAUAUAUUUUUUAAAAAAAUUAAAUUUAUAAUUAGAUAUUUGAAAAAUUGCUAUUUUGAGUAACAAAUGUGUAAUUUUUAAAUUUAAUAAGAAUACAUAUCCAAUUGUGAUAGCGCAGUGCAGUUCUCCAUUUUGAGCAAUUCUAUCAGUACACUUCAAAAUUGGUGUGCAUCUUAUAUCUAGUUCAUCCCAAGAUUAUUAAUAUUUUACUCAUCACAUCAAUUUUUUUAUUUUUAUUAAAAAUUAUUUAGACUUUUAUAAAUCCUAGGAUGGGAAUGUAAGCUAUGCACCCUUUUUUCCGCGUACAAGCAUGUUGUCUCUACUUUUCUAUAACAAUCCUAAAUUUUCAUAUUUAUUACGUUUAAGGUUUAACAAAAUAAUAUAAAUUUUUAUAAAAUAACUAAUUAAUUAUUUUAUUUAUAACAUAAGUUAUUUACUUCAAGUUUACCUGGUUUCACCUAAAUUUUUGUGAAUUUUUGUUUUGUGAGAGUAUGUUCGUAGGUUACUUCAUUGCACAAAAUCAAAUAUGUGGACAGGUGAAGAUAUUUUAUUAAUAUAUUUAAACUUUGCACGCUUUGAAUUUAUGAGUUCGAAAAGAAUAAAGUCAAAAGGCAAAUUCUAUUCUUGGAAAAACAAGCACAAUUUGUAUCAAUCCAAAUAAAUUUCGCGUCUCUAAUGUUAUACACUUCGACCUGUAAUAGUACAUCACCGACAAAAUGAACAAGCAACUUAUUUUCGUCAUAUUCAGAUUCUUAGUUGCACAAAUUCUUUGAAUUUCCCCUACGCCAACUUCAGCAGCUCUUCACAGAGCACAGCAGAGUGCUCUUUCUCGACGCAGCGCAGCAUCAAUCUGAUCCCCUGCUUCGGUGUGGGCGGCUUCAGAUAUAUCGCUGCUGCGACGAUGUUCACGUCGUCGUUCAGCGUGAAAACGUAGCUCGGCUUCCCCCAUCCGUAAUCAACCUCGUUGAACCCGAGACGGCUCCAAUCCGCCAAUCGUAGCGUGCCGUAGUCCAGUGGCACGUUGUAGUGGUUGUCCUUGGCCCCUCCGUUCAUCCAGUCGAUGAACCGCGUCGAGAGCGCCGCCUUCGCGUCCCUGAUCAUGGCCACGAUCUCGACAAUCGAUGCGUUGUCGAUCUCCUCGCUCGUCCUUGUGAUCCCCACGGGGUACACGCAGUUGCCGUAGUAGCCUUCGACCGACGGCAGCACGCUGUGCAGCAGGUGGCGGGUGCUAGCCGUAAUGCUUAGGUGGACCUCAGCAUUGGGGGGUAGGUUAAUGGCCUUGGCGCGGCACUUGUAGAGCAUCGCGGUGACGACGUCGAAGGUCGAGCACUUGUCGCCCGUGGCGGCCGCAAAGUCACUCUUGGUGCGGUUGAUGCUCUCCAACGAGAUCUCGAUCAAGGAGGUGACGAAAUUGAAGGCUGGGAAGGACGGCGGCGGGCCACCACGGGGGAUCUUGGGGGGGUCCGGAAUGGCAUCGCGGCACCAGACCGGCGCAACCGAUGGCUCCGGGAGGCCUCUCGCCAUCUCGGCGACGGCUUUCAUGAACUGGGCCGCGCCCUGGCCGUCGAACACCAGGUGGUUGAAGCAGAUGCCGACCGCGAUUCCGCCGCACUUGAAUACCGUCACCUGAGGUUAGAGAGUUGACCCAUAUGAGAUCCGAGGAACAAAGGUUUGCACUGAAAUUCCAAGUUCCAAAAGCAAAAGCAACCAAACCAAUACAAAGCUUCUAUUUUAUCAAAUAACAAAGCAAAACUGUAGCUAAGUUUGAAUCCUAAUUGAUUCACAUUUCUAGCUAAGUUUAUUUCUAAAUAAAAUAAAUGAAGCGGGUAGUAUUUUACCUAUCUCUAAAAAAUAAAAAUAAAUAAAAAUAAAAAAACUGUAGGAUAAAUUUUUUUUUUUUUUAAUCAUAUAAAUAAUACUUUAUCAAACAACACUAAAGUCAAAAUAGGUUGGCUAUAUAUCUCUCAGAGCCGAGAGUAUUGCUUCGCUGAGCUCGCAUUUUCCUCGGAGGAAUGAAUGGUAGAUUGGCAUGCAUCAUUGUCUUUGAUUGAAAACUAAGGCCUACUACCUGCCAAACCAGUCCCAAGCUAACCUAAAUAGCCGGGUUAGAACUUAGAAAAUAACUCAAACCCGAAAAAAUAUUGAGGGAUUCAGAUUAAGAUCUGGACCAUGAACUCAAUAUAGCUCCUUUACUCAAAAGAAAAUUGAAGUGAUUGAUAGAAAUUUUUGCCGAAAGAUCAAUUGAAUUAAAAUAAUCUUACUGAAAACCAGUUCCGAUAUUGACGGAUUUGGAUCCAAGCAAUUUAUGUGGAUUAACCAAAACCGACCCGUUAACACUCCACAGUUCGCAUGAGCUAGUGAUUAGAAGCUUGUCGGCUUUUGCAAGCCCUUGAAACUUACCCUGCUAUUUCAGAUGCAAACUCCAUAUUUUUAUGUUUAUAACAAUAAAUUAGUCACUAUACGGAAAUGAGUGAAAACAAUUGAUUAUUAUUCUAUAAAAAAUAAAAAAUUCUACUUGUACAUUCUAAAAGAAAGUACAGAUCUUACAUCCCUCGUUCUAAGGUUGAUAAAAACCUAAAUAAUUUUGGUAAAUUUUUUUUUAAUAUAACGAGUAGAAUAUUAAUGACCAUAUGAUAGAGUGGCAGUGGUGAAUCCUCUGUUACCUCAGUAGAGAUAGCCAAUAAGUAAGGCUUUAUGCCUUUUUUUUGCCAUGUUAAUCCCACUUCCGGGUCAAAGUUGAUCACAAAGUGGGAUCAACGAAUAGAUAGGUAAUAGCUUUCUUUUACCAAAAAAAGGGAGGGACUUUGAUCGUUGAUCAAAUUCAGUCGAUCCAGCUAUAUAUGUGAUCAAUUAAUUCAAAUUCAGUCGAUCCAGCAGAUAAGAAUUUUAUAAAGAGUAAAUUACGCAACUAUAUAUGCGAUCAAUUAAUAAACGAUUAUUUUGUGAUUUAUAUAAAAAAAUUAUUCGAUGAUGAUGCUAUCUAUAUAAUUGUCAGAGUAUGAAAACAUGUUGAAAAUAAUUGUAAAUAGAAAUAGUUCUUUUUUUUUUAUUUAUGUAAUAUUAAUGAAUAGUUUACUCUUUUAUUUUAUGUUUUUUUUUUUUCCAUUAUAUAUUUGAUUCCACUAAGAAAUUUUUUUGGAUCCACCAGCUGUAAAAUGUAUACCCAUUAUAAUAGAGUGUAUCUAUAGUAUUUCUCAUAAAAAAAUAUUGAUUAUCUUUUUCAUUGUAAAAACUAAAUUUACGUCUGGAUUAUUAACCAAAUAGUUUUUGAACCCAUACUAAAGAAGAUCUGGAUGAACACUCCAAAUUAAACAUAGCAAAUAUUAUUAAAAAUUUCAUAUCAGAAGCAUAGCAAAAUCUCCUACUCGACUCGUCCCCAACACUAAAGUUAUAUUUAAUCGCUCCGAUCUCUACGCUGCGCACGCGAAAACCCUAAACCCCUACACGCUACACGAUCAAAUCCGAUCGAAAAAGUCUGUGCGAAAUUAAGCACAAAAAUGAGAGGGGGGAUCGGAUCUGACCUGCGCCAUGAGGAUGGCUUCCUCGAGCUUCACCUCGGGGGGAGGGCGAGGGAGGAGCUCCUCUCUAGGGAUCAUGAGGGGGCGCUCGAGCUGGUUCACGUCGUCCAGGGCGCAAUCGGCCUCCGCCUCCACGAACCAGAUCCCGUCGCCGGAGCACUCGACCAUGGGCUCGCCGGGGACGCUCUCGACGAUCCUUCCGGCGACGGGGAAGUAGGGGACGAGGGCGCGGGCGAAGCCCUCUCUGAUGGCGGCGACGGCGGCGGCGCCGCCGCGGGAGAAGACCUGGAUGAAUUCGACGGAGACGCGCGCGUUGGCGGCGCGGUCGAUGGAGGAGAGGGGGAGGAGGAGCGUGGAGGCCGGGGUCGGCGACGCGGGGGGGACGAGGGUUGGAGGGGACUUGGUCACCGCGGGGCUCAUGGCGAUCGAAGCUUUUGGGGGUGUGGAAAUGGAGAUGGAGAUGGAGAUGGAGAUGGAGAUGGAGAGUGGGGAUUAAUGGGGGAUUGGAGAGGGGGAGAGGGUGAAUGAAUGAACGGUGCUAUGCUGGCGCUGUACUUCUACAAUUGACAAUGAUGUGCACUAGAACGCCUGCCCGAUGUUGCAGACGUAAAAUAAUUUAUUAAAAAAAUAUGUAUGUUACAUAAAAAAUGAGAGGAAAAAAAUAUUAGAAUAAUUUUAAAAAAUUUUAUUUAUAUUAAAAUUUUAGUAAAUUUAAUAGAUAUAUUGAACUUUAGUUAUUAGUUAUUUAAUUCUAUAUACCAAAAAAAAAUUAAAUUAUUGAUUUUUGUCAAUUGUUUUAAAAUUUAAUAAUAUUUUGAUUUAAUCAACUAAUCAUAAAAAAUCAAAAAAAUAAAAAUCAGUUAAAAAAAAUGGAUAAUUACCUAUAUACCCUUCAUGCGUUCGGAAAUAUCCGAUCUAUUCCUACUUUUUUUUUUCUUUCUAAAAUGUCCUUCAUAUGUUCCACCGUUAUUCCAAAAUACCCCCGCAGUUAUCCACUGUUAGCUUAACUCGGAUUAAACAUGGGUUAAAUCUAUACUAGAGUUAAAAUCUAAACAAAAUACCUAUUUUGCCCCUACCUUAUUACACUAAUCCCUAAGAUUAUCCUCUCUUUCUUUCCCAACUUGGUCGCCACCACCGGCCAGCUCCUUCGCCACCACCGGCCAGCUGCUUCGCCAUCACCGGCCGGCUCCUCCGCCUCCACCUCGCCUCAUCUCCUCCCAGGCCACUAACGGAACUUAAUGGUAAUUUUUCAGAGAUAACGGCAGCUCACUAACGGAACUUAACUCCAGAGGCAUUUUAGAAAAACUUGGAACAUAGUAAGGGUAUUUUCAAUAUUAGCCUUCUAAUAGGGGUAAAUAAGAAAAUCGAAAAUUUUUUAGGAGUAUAUAGAUAAUUACCCCUGAAAAAUAUAUUGAGGCGCUCUCUUAAAGCAUCGUAAUAGUUGAGGGGGUCUUCACACAUUUUUAACAAAAAAAAAUUUUGAAUACCCAUAUUUUCUGCAGCUUGGUCAUCAUCACACUAAUGAUGGUUGUCAUUAUCAAUAUCCAAAUUAAAAUAAUUUUUCUAAAAGUGAUUUCCAGAUUGGCUUAAUUAGUGAUUACUUAAUUAUGUAUUUUUCUAAAUAGGAUCAAGGUAAGUGUUUAUUGGGUUAAAUAGGCCAACAUUCUCUAUUGUGGUGAGAAGCUGGGUUGGACCGAAUUGCGUUCGAAAUAACGGAAGAUCGGAUUGGAUUAAAUCAUAUUCGAAGUGGCGUAAGGUUGAUUGAACUGAAUCAGAAUUGAGAUCUGUAGACACUAUAUCCGUAUACUUUAAAUGAAUUGAUUGUAUAUUUCUAACGGUUCAAACUUUAAGAUUAAUGAUUAGUGCCAAUAAUCCAAUAAUAAUUGUUGGAAUGAUGAAAAAUUAUCAAGUAAAUUGCUAGCAAAGUGAACUGGUAGGCAUAUAUUUAAUUUUUUAAAAAAUUUAUAAACAGAUAUUUGUAAAUUUGCUAUUUUGAGUAACAUAUGUGUAAUUUAUUAAUUUAAUAAGAAUACAUAUACAAUUGUGAUAGCCCAGCUAUACAAAUCCUAGACUUUCAUAUUUAUUGCGUUUAAGUUUAACAAAAUAAUAUACCUUUUUUUAUAAAAUAACUAAUUAAUUAUUUUAGUUAUAAUAUAACUUAUUUACUUCAAGUUUACCUGGUUUCAAGCUGAAUUUUCCUGGAAUUUUGUUUUAUGAGAGAAUGCUCGUAGGUUGCUUCAUCACACAAAAUCAAAUAAGUGCACAGGUGAAGAUAUUUAUUAAUUUAUUUAAAGGCUAAAUUACAGAAAACCCUCCUGUGAUAAUCCGUUUUUUCAUUUUUUUUCUCUGACAUUUAAAAACCUACACUUUGCCCCAUUGUAAAAUAAAAAAUGUGCACUUCAUCCCCUACCGUUAGGGUUCUGUUAUAAAAUAUUUUUUUAUACCGAAAAUACACCUCCGCCCUCUUCCUUGUUGCUUCGCCUCCCUUUGGCUCGCUGCCCCGCCGCCUCGCCGUCCUCCACUGCCUCGCUCUUGCCCAUAUCGCCUUCGCCCUCCUCCGCCUCCUCGCCUUCAUCCUCGUUGUCCUUGCCUAUCUCUUCAUCAACAUCCAUCUCGAUUUCCUCUCUACUAUCGUCAAAAUCGAGGUGCGGCGAGGGUGCAGGAGGAGAAGGGGAGUAGGUGGAGAAGGAAAUAGAGAGAAAUCGCGGCCGAUUGAGGUGAGAAUCGCGGCUGAUCGAAGGGGCGGCUGAGGAAGAUGAGAAAGAAGACGAAAAUGGCGAAGGGCAAAAUGUUCAUUUUACACACCGUAACCCCUUUGUGAACAUUUUUUAUUUUACAAGGAGACAAAGUGUAAAUUUUUAAAUGUCAGAAGGGAAAAGUAAAAAAGCGGAUUAUUAUAGGAAGGGUUUUCUGUAAUUUAGCCUUAUUUAAAUUUUGCAUAGUUGGAAUUUUUCAGUUUGAAAAGAAUUAAACUCAAAGGCAAAUUUUAUUCUUGAAAAAACAAGCACGAAUUUAUAUCAAUCCAAAAAAAUUUAACGUCUCUAAUGUUACACACUUUGACUUGUAAUAGUACAUCACCAACAAAAUGAAUUACAAGCAGCUUAGUUUCAUCAAAUUCAAAUAUUUAGUUGCGCAUAUCCUCUCAAAAAAGAAGAGCAAAUUUCUCCCUACGCCAACUUCAGCAGUUCUUUGCAGAGCACAGCGGAGUGCUCGUCCUCCACGCAACGCAGCAUCAAUCUGAUCCCCUGCUUCGGCGCCGGCGGCUUGAGAUAUAUCGUCAUCGCGACGAUGUUCACAUCAUCAUUCAGCGGGAAAACGUAGCUCGGCUCCCCCCACCCGUAGUCGACCUUGUUGAAGCCGAGACGGCUCCAAUCCGACACGGUUAGCGUGCCGUAGUCCAGCGGCAUGUUGUAGUGGUUGUCCUUGGCCCCUCCAUUCACCCAGUCGACGAACCGCGUCGAGAGCGCCUCCUUCGCGUCCCUGAUCAUGGCCACGAUCUCGACGAUCGAUGCGUUGUCGAUCUCCUCGCUCGUCCUCGUGAUCCCCGCGGGGUACACGCAGUUGCCGUAGUAGCCUUCGACCGACGGCAGCACGCGGUGCAGCAGGUGGCGGGUGCUGGCCGCGAAGCACAGGCGGACCUCGGCAUCGGGGGGUAGGUUGAUGGCCUUGGCGCGGCACUUGUAGAGCAUCGCAGUGACGACGUCGAAGGUCGAGCACUUGUCACCCGUGGCGGCUGUGAAGUCAUUCUUGGUGCAGUUGAUGCUCUCCGAUGAGAUCUCGAUCACGGAGAUGACGAAUUUGAAGGCCGUGAAGGACGGCGGCGGGCCACUGCAGGGGAUCUUGGGGGGGUCCGGAAUGGCUUCGCGGGACCAGACGGGCGCGACCGACGGCUCCGGGAGGCCUCUCGCCAUCUCGCCUACGGCUUUCAGGAAAUGGGCCGCACCCUGGCCGUCGAACACCAGGUGGUUGAAGCAGAUGCCGACCGUGAUUCCGCCGCACUUGAAUACCGUCACCUGAGGUUAGAUAGUUGACCUAUGUGACAUCGGAGGAAUAAAGGUUUGCACUGAAUAUUCUAAGUUUCAAAAGCAAAAGCUACCACACCAAUACAAAAGUUGUACAUUAUCAAAUACCAAAACAAAACUGUAGGAUAAAUUAUAAAAUUUUUUCCUUAAAUACUUAAAUAAUAUUAUAACACUAAUAAAGUCAAAUUAGGAUGGCUACAUCUGUCAGAGCCGAGAGUUUUGCUCCGCUGAGCUCGCAUUUUCCUGGGAAAAAUGAAUGGUAGACUAGCAUGCAUCUGUCUUUAUUGAAAGCCGAGGCCCUACUUCCUGUCAAACCGGUCCCACAAGCUAACCAAAAUAAUCGGGUUAGAAUUUAGAAAAUAACUCAAACCCGAAAAUUGAAGUGAUUGCGAGAGAUCUUUGCCAAAAGAUCAGCUGAAUUAAAAAAAUCUCACUACAAACAAGAUCCGAUGUUGUCGGAUUUGGAUCCAAGCUAUUUAUGUGGAUUAACCAAACCGGAUUCGUUAACACUCCUCCAUGGCUCUAUUCACAAGGGAAUACUCCAUAUAGUUCGCAUCACGGGCAACAAUAACGGGUAUUAAGAAGGAUCCAACAAUGCGCAAUGAGCUAGUGAUUAGAAGCUCGUUCGCUUUUGCGAGCCCUUGAAACUUGCCCUGCUAUUUCAGAUGCAAACUCUAUAUUUUCAUGUCUAUAAUAACAAUAAGAUAAAACUUCAAAAACUCUCCUUGUGGUUUCGCACUUUCUCACUCCAGUGCCCUGUGGUUUAAAAUGUAUUAAUUUGGUGCUCUGUGAUUUUAUUUUUAUCUUUUUAUUAUCAAUUUUACUAUUUUUUUCUUAAAUCAGUGACAAAGUUAAAAUUAAAAUUAAAGAAUAUUAAAGUAAAUAUUCGAUAAAUCUAUGUGGGUAUUUUAAGUUUUUUUUUUAUAUAAUUUAACAAAAUAUUAACGAAAAAGCUAUAGAAAAAAUAAAAAUAAAACCAUAGGGCACCAAAUUAAUACACUUUAAACCACAGGGUAUUCAAGUGAGAAAGUGGGAAACCACACGGGAGUUUUUGAAGUUUUUCCUAACAAUAUAUUAGUCACUCUAUCGUAAAGAGUAAAAUAGUUAUCCUAUAAGAAAUAUUGAUUAUCUUGGCCUUUUUGCAUAAAAAAUUCAUUUAUUUUGGGCUUUUGCAAAAUCGGGUCAUCUUUUUCGUUUUUGCAGAUUCGGUCCGCUUUUUCAGCAAACUGACCAAAAUACCCUUAUUACUUUUUCUCUUUCCUCUUUCUCUCUCCUCUUCGUUCUCUCGUUCUUUUUUUUUUCUUUCCGCCGCGGACACCCCGUCGGGCCGUUUCUUUUUUUUUUUUUUUUCUCUCUUCCUGCCCUGGAGCACUUUUUUUUUUUCCCGUCUAUCCUUCUUCUUUUCUCUAUCUUCUUCUUCCUAGUAAGAGCAGGGGCGCGCCACGGCUGAUUUCGUCGGCCUCGCAAGGCGCGUCACUCCGGCGCGGUUCUGCAGGGAGGGGUCCGCACCGGCGACCGAGCGUCGCAGCGAGGGUGGGGGCGCGGCAAGGCGGGCGGGCGAGGUGGAGCGGGGUGUCGCAGCCUGGGGACGUCGCGCCGGUCGGCGCUGUCACGCGCGCCGCCCGCCGCUCCGCUCCAGCCUCGGCCGCCGUCAGCGAUCUCUGACGGCCUGCUCAUAUUUUUGUAAUGGUGUAAUGGAGUGCCCGCGGUCGUGGCAGGCAGCCAGCGCGCGGGCAGGCACUGCGGGCGCGCUGCGGCUGCUUUCUUCUCGUCGUAAAUGGUGUAAUGGUGCACCAUUACACCAUAUAAUUGGUGAAAUUACACCAUUCACACUUAAUCUGGUUGAAAUACACCAUUACAACUGGUGUAAUUUCACCCAUUAAUGCACGCGGCCCCACGGAUCGACCCGCAGGUGGACUCCGCGGGCCAGCGCCGCCGAUGGGCUCCUCGAAGGGGAGCAGAACACCCGCGAGAGGUUGGUGAGGAGAUGUCGAGGGACGCGAGGGCGCUGGGACCCGGGCCGCGCGGGGAGCAGACCAUUCCCCGCGCCAACGAACGCGCAGGGUCUGACAGCUGGCGUUGGACGACUGAUCGCGAGCGCCAGGACGGUGCCCGAGCGCCGACCUCACCGCAACAGAAGCGCCGCCACCUUCCGGCCGCCGCCGCGGUGACGCCCUCCUCCGCGUGCCGCCGCCUGAGGAUGACGACGAAGAAAAGAAGAUAUCAAUUGAAAUCAUAUUUAUUGACAUUAAUAGUUUGAUGCAGGUGUCUAUUAAUUCGUUCAUAUUGACGUAUACUACAAGUUACGAGUAUGAAGAAAUGCUUGAGUUUUCAUGAUUAAAUUAUCUAUUGCAUACUUUUUUUUCUCUGCUUCCUCACGAAAACUUAAUAUCUUGUCCUACAUAUCUAUUUGGUAAAAGGACAUGUAGGUAUAUGGAAAUUCUAAAUACCUGGUUGGUAAUUAAAUAACAGUAGCUGGAGAUAUCUCUAAUAUGUCCUAGAAUUAGUUGGGUCGGCACUACCUGUACCAGAAGAAAUUUUUAACAAAAUCUAAUAAUUGCAGCAAAGUUUGUUUUCUUUCUUUAGCUGGUCCUCUUAAACAACUAAUUUUAACGUUUAUCAGAGAGAUGAUCCAGCACAGACCUCCUAUAAUCAAGUUGAGUGUACAUGUUGCGACAUUGUGCUGUGGGAGGCGUCAUCCCGGAAUGCUCCCAUUUGCAAACAUGACAGCUGCCAGGUCUUGCAUUCGCUGAUAGUGGAACAAGGCGUCCCGCCGCGAUUAAUCUCCGCAUGAUUGCCUCCCUGCUCUUGCGAGAUUCAACUUCUCCGUUUCUUCUCUCGUCGUCGUCCAUCGGCGGCGCGCGCGGAGAGGGUCGGCCGGCGGCGGCCGGAUGGUGGCGACGGCUUCGUGGUGAGAGUCGGCACUCGCAACCCGUCGGGCGCGCUCGCGUCGGGUCCACCCAGCUCGUUGGAGCCUGCGCGUCGUGGCGGCGGGUGAUCCUGUCCCCCCGUGCGGCCCGGGUCGCAGCGCGCCGUCGCAUCCCUCGACAUCUUCCUGCCUCAACUCUCUCCGCGGGUUUCCUGCUCCCUUCGGGAGGCGCCUCGCUGGCUGCCCGCGGAGUCCACCGCGCGGCUCUGCUCCGCGGGCCACGUGCACCGUUAAUGGUAAUAUAUUACACCAUUAUACCAUAAUGGUGUAAUGGUUGUAAUUUACACCCAUUAAUGGUGUAAAUGGUGCAACACAUUACACCAUUACCGAGCGGAAGAAGAGCAGCAGCGCGCACCGCGUGCUCGCCCGCCGCAGCUACAUGCCCGCACCCGUGCACCAUUAACACCAUUAGCGAAGAAGAAGAAGCCGCCGUCGAGAUCGGCGGCGGCGGCCGACGCCGCCCCGGCAGCGCCGUGACCGGCGCGUGGACCGCAGCCCUCGACCGGCGCAAAUGUCCCAGCUGCGACAUCCCCGUCUUCCCACCUCGCCCGCCGCGGCUCCCGCGCGCCUUCCACCGCUCGCUGGCAGCGUCAGCGUCGCGGUGCGACCCCUCCCUGGCAGAAUGCUUCGCCGGUGGCGACGCCAACUGCUUGGCAGGACCGUGAAGUCGCCGUGGCGCGCGCCCGUGGCUCCUUAUACAAGGAAUAGAAGACCGAAGAAGAAAGAAGAAAAGAAAAAGAAGAGGGAAAAAAAAAAGUACUCGCAGGAGGAAGAAGAAGAAAAAAAGAAAAAGAACGAGAGAAAAAAACAAAAAAAAAAAACGCACGCUCCUGACGGGUCCGCGGCGGGAAAAAAAAAACGAGAGAACGAAGAGGGGAGAGAAAGAGAAAGAGAAAAAGUAAUGAAGAGUAUUUGGUCAGUUUGCUGAAAAAAAGGAGCCGAAUCUGUAAAAACGAAAAGAUGACCUGAUUUGCAAAGCAAAUAAGUGAAUUUUUAUAAAAAAAAGGCGAUUAUCUUUUAAAUUGUAAAAAACUAAAAAUGCGUUGUGCUAUUAUGAUGGGAAGUAAAAGGGACUAUAUUUAAAGUUUACGUUUGAGAUUAUCAACGCAAAUAGUUUCUGAAACGACACUAAAGAAGAUUCUGAUGAACCAGUACUCCAAAUUAAACAUCGCAAAUAUUAGAUCGGAUCUGACCUUGCGCCAUGAGGAUUGGUGUCCCUCGGAGCUUCACCUCGGGGGAGGGCGAGGGAGGAGCUCCUCUCUAGGGAUAUGAGGGGGCGCUCGGAGCUGGUUAACUGUCGUCGCAAGGGCGCAUCGGCCUCGGCUCCAGAACCAGAUCCCGUCGCCCGAGGCAACUCGACAUGGCGCGCCGCGAGACGCUUCGACGAUCCUCCUCGGCGUAAGGGGGAAGUAGGGGACGAGGGCGCGGCGAAGCCCUUCUGCAUGCGGUGAAGGCGGCGGCGGCGCCGCCGCCGCCGCCGUGAGGGAGAAACCGUGGAUGAAUUCGACACUGGAGACACGCGAGUUGACGGCGCGGUCGAUGGAGGAGAGGGGAGGAGGAGCGUCGAGGAUCGGGUCGGCGACGCGGGGGGGACGAGGUCGGAGGGACUUGUCACCGCGGGCUCGAUGGCGAUCGAGCUCUUUGGGGGCCAUGAAAUGGGGAGUGGAGAUGGAGAUGGAGAGUGGGGAUUAAUGGGGGAUUGGAGAGAGGAAACAGGGAAGGGGUGAAUGAAUGAGAGCCUACGGACGGUUGACAAUGGUGUGUAUCUAGUGAAGACCCGCGGAAUAUUUGCAGACGUAAAAUAAUUUAUUAAUAUUUAAAUUAAUUUUGAAAAAAUAAGUUAACUGACCUAAAAUUAUUUUGAAAUAAAAUAAUUUAAAUUGAUAUAUUGCCUCAUAUAAAUUUUUUUUAUAUGAAAUAUAUUAGUAAUCAAAUUGUAGAAAAAUAUAUGGGAAAAAAAGAUAAAGGAAUAAUGAAUAAUUUAAAAAUUUUAUUUACAUUAAAAUUUUACUAAAUUUAAUAGAUAUACAGUAUACUAAACUUUACUUAUUAGUUAUUUAAUUGUUAUUUAGCACAAGAAUUAAAAUUAUUGAAGUUUUGUCAUUGUUUUAUUAAAAUUUAAUAAUAUUUGAUUUAAAACAAUUACAUUAUCAUAAAAAUCAAAAAAAUAAGACUUUAUUUUUAAAAAAAUGAGAGGUCUAUCUAUAAGCAAUCUAAUAGUUGAGAGGUUCUCAGCGUCAUUUUUAACACAAAAAAAUAUUCACCCACGUGAGAGUCCAUAAAGUCUCUCUAAUUUUUUAAAGCGAAUUUUAAACAUAUCCUUAGGGUAGAUGAACACUUAUAUCUAGAGAUAAUGAAUAUUCAACAUAUUUUCUGUAGGCUGGUCAUCAUCACACCAAUAGAUUGGCGGUCAUUAUCAUACUUUCAAAUCAAAAUAAUUUUCUGAAAGGUAACGCUUUAGAUUAGGUUUUAGCAAAGUGCUGUCGAUGUAUUUCUAAAUGGAAUUGUGAUAGUCGCUUGGUAGUAUUGAAUAAGUAGGCAUCCUUGCUCUGCGAAACCGAAUCCACAUUAAUAUGACGGGAGUAGAUUAAUCGAGUCAUAUUUUUGAAGUGACAUAUAGGCUGGUUAAAAUUAAGUUAUAUAUCGAAAUAUGUGAAGUACUGUAUCUGUAAGCUUAAGAAAAUUUAUUGUUUACUUACAUAAUUUUGAGUUUUGGGAUUAUUAUUAGUGCCAGAAUAGAUGCGGCAAUAAUGAUUCUAAUGAUGAGAAAUUACCAAAAUAAAUUGCCUAGUAGUUACUUAUUAGGCAUAUAUUUGUUUAAAACAAAUUUAAAUUUAUAAUAGUAUUUGGAAAUUUCUAGUUUUGAUACAUAUGUGUAAUUUAUAUCAAUUCAUUGUUAUUCUGAAUAAAGCAGCGAAUUUAUAUCAUCCAACCUAAAUUUAGCAGUAUCUAUAUGUCGCAGCACUUUGACCUGUAAAUAGUACAUGACCAAUCAAAAUUAAAUAAGCAACUUAUUUAAAUACCACUAGGUACGGGGAAUAAUGUACAAAGUUAAGAGGUUAUUUUGCAUCUUUGUGGACAUGUUUCUAUAUUAUUGGUGCACCUGGUGCACUAUGGACCAAUAAAAAUAUGGACUUUUAAUUUUAAAUGAAUAUAAUAAAUAAUUAUUUUAUAAAUAUUAACUAAUUAUAGGUACAUUUCAAAUACUGUAAAUAUAGAAUUGAAUAAUUAAUUUAAAUUUUGACAUCGUCAAUUGUACCACAUUAUUCUGCCCAAAAUCUGUCCGUGGCAAAUUCUCUGCGUGUAGGCAUCUCGCCGGCAAAGUUUCCUGCUUAGAUGUCUAUUCUUUUCUCUCAAGCUAUAAUACAUUUUGUUACGGAAUGCGUGGACACGUNNNNNNNNNNNNNNNNNNNNNNNNNAUAGGCAUAUAUUUUUUAAAAAAAUUUAAAUUUAUAAGUAGAUAUUUGGAAUUUGCUAUUUUGAGUAACAUAUGUGUAAUUUAUAUCAAUUCAUUUUAUUCUUGAAUAAAGCACGAAUUUAUAUCAAUCCAAAUAAAUUUAGCGUAUCUAAUGUCGCACACUUUGACCUGUAAUAGUACAUGACCAACAAAAUUAAAAAGCAACUUAUUAAAUACACUAGGUACGGGGAAUAAUGUACAAAGUUAAGAGGAGCAUCUUUUGUGGAUAUGUUUCUAUUUUAUUGGUGCACCUGGUGCACUAUGGACCCAAUAAAAAUAUGUGAUUUUAUUUUAAUGAAUAUAAUAAAAAAUUUAUAAAUAUUAAUAUAUAGACAUUUCAAAUACUGUAAAAUAAAUUGAAUUAAUUAAUUUAAAUUUUGACAUCUCAAUUGUACCAAUUUAUUCUGCCCAAAAUCUGCCUGGCACAUUCUUGCGUGUAGCAUGCUCCGGCAAGUUUCUGCUAGAUGUCUAUUCUUUCUCUCAGCUAUACCAUUUUGUUACGGAGUGCGUGGACACGUAAGCUGUCUCCUUAUUUUGCACUCUCGCAUAUAAGCUGAGAACUCUGCUGAAAUAUAUUCACCUCCAUCAUCCGUACGCAGGCAUCGUAUUUUAUAACCGGUUUGGCCUUCAACUUUUUUUUAAAAUUCUUUAAAUUUUUGUAGCACUUCAGAUUUUUCUUUAAUAAAGUAUACCCAGACGUACCUUGAGAAGUCAUCAAUGAACGUCACUAUGUAGCGCAUGCCGCUAAUUGAUGUUUGCUUGACUGGUCCAAAAACAUCAGAGUGCACGAACUCAAGCGGUACCUUGGCUCUAUAUUUGGAUUUAGUGUAGGAAAGUUGAUGAGCCUUACCAAACUGGCAUCCUGCGCAGAUUGUGUUUCCUCAUACUUCAAGUUGAGGUAAGCCCUUAAGCAUACUGCGCUCCAUUAUAAUUUUUAGUUUGUGAUAGGUCACAUGUCCCAGUCUUGCAUGCCACAAAUCAGCAGUCUCAUUUUUUCGAGUCUUCUCUACGUAUGCUGAUUCUGCAGACAUUACGUAUAUAGACUCUACUUUCUUUCCUUCCAUGAUUUGUAUACCUGAUAUAUUAGGACUGCGAAAUAUCUUGACAUCUUACGGCCCAAAUACUACAUAAUUGCCCGAUGCAGUCAAUUGUGAUACUGAUAAGAGAUUUUUCUUCAUACCUGGGACAUGGUAGACGUUCUGUAGUUGUACUUGAUGUAGGCUGAAUCUGGGUGUGGUGAUUGUCUUUCCUAUAUGAGUGAUUGGUAGCUUCGAGUUGUUAGUUGUCACCACUACUCUUUCUCCUUUAUAUUCUGUUGUGCUGAGCAGCUUGUCUCUAUCACCGGUCAUAUGAUUGGAAUAUCCAGAAUCGAUGAUCCAAUCUGUAUUGUAAUUCACCUCUCUUGGAUUUUCUAUUGUUGUGAGUGCAUACACUGGUACCUGUUUUAGUAGCUUUUCCUUCUUAGCACAUGGCGUCAUUUUCUCUGCAGCAGUGUCUUCUGACCUUUAUUCUUUGAGAGCCUCCUCAGUGUCUAACUGACAAUCUUCUUUUGACUCUAUGAUGGCGAAGGAGGCUUCAGCAUCCCACUCUUCUUCAUUUUUGUAUGCUGCUUGGUGGUCACCUGACGUUGCCAUAUUGCCUUAUACUUGUUUCUUCUUGUGCCAACAGUCUCGGGCGAAGUGUCAUUUCUUGCUGCAAUUGUAACACUCUCCGCUUCGUCGUCUGUCGCCUUUAAACUGCCAGGUAUUUUGCUCCAUCUGGUUGUAGACUCUCCCUGUAAUGUGGCUCUCUCCCAACCUUUGUUUUGACCCACUGAACUCCUUCAGCGGUUUCACAUUUCUUGGCCCUCCUGUUGCUCGACCUUUUCUUCUACUGCUAAAGAGUGCCUCAUCUUCAGUUUUUAGUAAGACUCCGGCCAUCUGUUUGACUAGAGCCUCCUGAUUAGCUAGUAAAUUUUCUAGCUCCACCAACGUUGGUUGAGUGGGCCAACCUCGAAUAGCAGUAAUGAACCCGUUAUAUUCGGGUUUUAGGCCGUGAAUAAUAAUUCUCUUCAUCCGCUGGUCACUAAUUUUUGACUCUGGAUCUAAUUGGAAAAUUUCACGGCAGAGAGAUUUUACCUUCAUUAAGUACUGGCUAAUCGUCAUGCUGCCCUGAGAUAUCGUCAUCAGCUCAUUUUCCAGUAGUUGAAGUCGAGCAUUAUUCUUCUUUGAAAAUAACGAGGCGAGGGUGUCCCAUGCAGCCUUGGGUGCAUCUGCUUCCUUGACAUGCUCCGGCAGCUCUUCUUCGAUUGUCGUCUUCAGGACGAAUAUCGCCUUCCCUGCCUUGAUACGCCACUUUCUGAACGCUUCUGCAUUCUCCUUCGGUGGUGGAGUUGUUUCAGCACCACCGAUUACCUCCCAUAGAUCCUGCCCCUGUAGGUAGAACUCGAUGCAGAUUUGCCAAUAACCAUAAUUAUGGUUAUUUAGCUUAUUAAUUCCGCUAGUUGUACCAGCAAGAUCUGCCAUAGUGACUUGGUGAUUACCCAACAGUGAACUAAGUAAGUCUGGUCCCAGACCAACCAACUUCACAGUCCCAAACUGUACACCAGCAAAAUCUCUGCUUAUAUCGGUAUUUAACUGUCUGGACUGGCAGAAUAUCACCGACUUAACUAGCAGAAUAUUUUCUACAAUCUGGCUCUGAUACCAAAUUGUAGAAUAUUAGCGUACCAAACUAAUAAUAAAACUCUCUUUAUUACACACAAAAUAACUCUCAUUCACAUACACCUAUAAGACUACAAACCUUACACACUCACUUCACUAUUUCACUACACCUUAUAACACUUCCUCAUCUCACACCACCACUCACACCCUUACUUCACUAUAUCUCACUCUUCACUCUCACUUUUGCACUCUUGCACUCUUGCACACUUGGUGUGGAAGCCUCACACCUAUUUAUAGGCCUCCAGCCAACCUACAUAAGCACUUUAGAAUAUUCUAGAAUACUUGCUUCUAGAACUUACUAAAGUGCUCUAUUAGCAAGUGGUGAGCACUUUAUUCUUAGAGUUUUCUAAAGUGCUCCAUUAGCUAGUAGAGAAUUGGAAAGAGAUAGAGCAUUCUAGAAUGUUCUAUUAAAGAGAGGGAGAGUUGCCUCUUUCACUUCAGCAGUUCAUUGCAGAACACAGCAGAGUGUGCUCUUCCUCGACGCAGCGCAGCAUCAAUCUGAUCCCCUGCUUCGGCGCCGGCGGCUUCAGAUAUAUGGCUGACGCGACAAUGUUCACGUCAUCGUUCAGCGGGAAAACGUAGCUCGGCUCCCCCCACCCGUAGUCGACCUCGUUGAAGCCGAGACGGCUCCAAUCCGACACGGUUAGCGUGCCGUAGUCCAGCGGCAUGUUGUAGUGGUUGUCCUUGGCCCCUCCAUUCAUCCAGUCGACGAACCGCGUCGAGAGCGCCUCCUUCGCAUCCCUGAUCAUGGCCACGAUCUCGACGAUCGAUGCGUUGUCGAUCUCCUUGCUCGUCCUCGUGAUCCCCGCGGGGUACACGCAGUUGCCGUAGUAGCCUUCGACCGACGGCAGCACACCGUGCAGCAGGUGGCGGGUGCUGGCCGCGAAGCACAGGCGGACCUCGGCAUCGGGGGGUAGGUUGAUGGCCUUGGCGCGGCACUUGUAGAGCAUCGCAGUGACGACGUCGAAGGUCGAGCACUUGUCACCCGUGGCGGCCGCGAAGUCGUUCUUGGUGCGGUUGAUGCUCUCCGAUGAGAUCUCGAUCACAGAGAUGACGAAUUUGAAGGCCGUGGAGGACGGCGGCGG
rnacentral:lncRNA from 1 species